ACGGACGAGAAGCUUGCUUCUCUGAUGUUAGCGGCGGACGGGUGAGUAACACGUGGAUAACCUACCUAUAAGACUGGGAUAACUUCGGGAAACCGGAGCUAAUACCGGAUAAUAUUUUGAACCGCAUGGUUCAAAAGUAAAAGACGGUCUUGCUGUCACUUAUAGAUGGAUCCGCGCUGCAUUAGCUAGUUGGUAAGGUAACGGCUUACCAAGGCAACGAUGCAUAGCCGACCUGAGAGGGUGAUCGGCCACACUGGAACUGAGACACGGUCCAGACUCCUACGGGAGGCAGCAGUAGGGAAUCUUCCGCAAUGGGCGAAAGCCUGACGGAGCAACGCCGCGUGAGUGAUGAAGGUCUUCGGAUCGUAAAACUCUGUUAUUAGGGAAGAACAUAUGUGUAAGUAACUGUGCACAUCUUGACGGUACCUAAUCAGAAAGCCACGGCUAACUACGUGCCAGCAGCCGCGGUAAUACGUAGGUGGCAAGCGUUAUCCGGAAUUAUUGGGCGUAAAGCGCGCGUAGGCGGUUUUUUAGGUCUGAUGUGAAAGCCCACGGCUCAACCGUGGAGGGUCAUUGGAAACUGGAAAACUUGAGUGCAGAAGAGGAAAGUGGAAUUCCAUGUGUAGCGGUGAAAUGCGCAGAGAUAUGGAGGAACACCAGUGGCGAAGGCGACUUUCUGGUCUGUAACUGACGCUGAUGUGCGAAAGCGUGGGGAUCAAACAGGAUUA
rnacentral:rRNA from 1 species